GAAAGAAAAAUAGGAAAAGAAGAAGAAGAAGAAAUACAGCAGGGCAGGAGAAGGUUUUGGCAAUAUCCUAUAUCCCUCUAUAUUUGCUUCUUCUCCCUCUUCUUGUUUUCUUUUCUUUCUUUUUCUUUUUUCUCAUAU
rnacentral:ribozyme from 1 species